UACGUAGGGGGCAAGCGUUGUCCGGAUUUAUUGGGCGUAAAGAGCGUGUAGGCGGUUUGGUAGGUCCGCUGUGAAAACUCGAGGCUCAACCUCGAGACGCCGGUGGAAACCAUCAGACUAGAGUCCGGAAGAGGAGAGUGGAAUUCCUGGUGUAGCGGUGAAAUGCGCAGAUAUCAGGAAGAACACCCGUGGCUAAGGCGGCUCUCUAGUACGGUACUGAUGCUGAGACGCGAAAGCGUGGGGAGCGAACAGG
rnacentral:rRNA from 1 species